rnacentral:rRNA from 1 species
UACGUAGGGGCAAGCGUUGUCCGGAAUCAUUGGGCGUAAAGCGCGCGUAGGCGGCCCGGUAAGUCCGCUGUAAAAGUCAAAGGCUCAACCUUUGAAUGCCGGUGGAUACUGUCGGGCUAGAGUCCGGAAGAGGCGAGUGGAAUUCCUGGUGUAGCGGUGGAAUGCGCAGAUAUCAGGAGGAACACCAAUAGCGAAGGCAGCUCGCUGGGACGGUACUGACGCUGAGACGCGAAAGCGUGGGGAGCGAACAGG